UCCCUGUUGGCUUAGCUGGCUAUAGCGUCCGACUGUUACGCUUGCGUAAGCAGCUAAUCGGAAGGUCGACAGUUCGAUCCUGUCACGGGGAG
rfam:Exidia glandulosa HHB12029 unplaced genomic scaffold EXIGLscaffold_93, whole genome shotgun sequence.